UCUACCUGCAGUGGAGCGACGAACCGGGCUUCGGCCCGGGGCAAAGCCGCGAACGGGUGAGUAUCACGUGGGUAACCUGCCCCGAUGACCGGGAUAACCCGAGGAAACUCGAGCUAAUACCGGAUGUGCUCGCAAUCCAUCAGGGUUGCAAGUAAAGGAAGCUUCGGCCUCCGCAUUGGGAUGGGCCCGCGGCCCAUUAGCUUGUUGGUGAGGUAACGGCUCACCAAGGCGACGAUGGGUAGCUGGUCUGAGAGGACGAUCAGCCACACUGGGACUGAGACACGGCCCAGACUCCUACGGGAGGCAGCAGUGGGGAAUCUUGCGCAAUGCGCGAAAGCGUGACGCAGCAACGCCGCGUGAGGGAAGACGGCCUUCGGGUUGUAAACCUCUUUCAGGAGGGACGAAGGUUCAGGCGCGAAUAGCGUCCUGGACUGACGGUACCUCCAGAAGAAGCCCCGGCUAACUACGUGCCAGCAGCCGCGGUAAUACGUAGGGGGCUAGCGUUGUCCGGAAUCAUUGGGCGUAAAGCGCGCGUAGGCGGCCCGGUAAGUCCGCUGUGAAAGUCAAAGGCUCAACCUUUGAAUGUCAGCGGAUACUGCCGGGCUAGAGUCCGGAAGAGGCGAGUGGAACUCCUGGUGUAGCGGUGGAAUGCGCAGAUAUCAGGAAGAACACCAACGGCGAAGGCAGCUCGCUGGGACGGAACUGACGCUAAGGCGCGAAAGCGUGGGGAGCGAACAGGAUUAGAUACCCUGGUAGUCCACGCCGUAAACGAUGGGCACUAGGUGUGGGAGGUGUCGACUCCUCCCGUGCCGGCGCUAACGCAUUAAGUGCCCCGCCUGGGGAGUACGGC
rnacentral:rRNA from 1 species